rnacentral:lncRNA from 1 species
GGGCAGCGGGGCUGGGCUCCGGCCGGGAGUCAGACGAGGGAGCGCGCGCGCGCUCCCGGACAGUUCUCCGCAGCCGCUCGCCCGAGCCUUCUACUUGGCCAACACAGCUGCCUCUACCACCUCGCGUGCCCGGUUCGUGGGCUUUCAGGUACCAAGCAUGUCCUGAAGAUGAAGAUACUCUCAGCCUAACGUCUCCAAGCAAAUAUUGAUUCAGCAGUAUCCCCAGGUAGGUGCUUUUGCUUAAAAGGGGCUUUCCUGUUAGCCCUUGGCAUUUAUUGUGCUUAUAAGCUGACAAGACACAUAGAUCUAAACCCACAGGAGCCUUCAGAGCAACUGUUGGUACCGCCCUCUGCUAGGCAGGAAAGAAGGAGCCAGAGAGGAUAACUGAUCCACCAAGGUCACCCUGCCAGUGAGCAUCAAAGGCAAUUCUAGUCCACAUAGUUACCAUGACAUUACAGGAUGUUUGUCUAGAACUUAAGCCCCAAAUACUAUGCUUAAGUUCUAGACCACACACAUGUGUGCACACACACAAGCACACGCGUGCACACAUACAAACACAAUGUUCAUUUCUCCGGAAAUCCUGAACACUUUUCUAACUUCAAAGGGUAGCAACCUAGACGUGCUGAUAACCCACCUUGGCCUCUGCCGUGGGAUUCUGCCAAGCAGCCCACUUGGACGUCACCCUUAAUUUAAGCCAGCGUGAUGGAUUGUGGUGCGGUCUUUCUUAACUGUAUUAUUACUCCUGCUUCAUUCCCUGAGCACAGAAUGAGGGAUUCUCUCUACUGCGCCUGGGAUGCAUCCUCCUUGCUGGGUAUAACUGGCCUAUUUGCUCAGUAAAAGCAGUGGGGAAACAAGUGUCCUUGAAGCCCAGACAUAACAGAAUUCCUAGCUGCCCUCCACCCCUGAGUCUGCAGAUCCAGGUCCCCCAGACCUGCUCACUUUACUCUUAUACCCUGCUAUGCUGCAGUGUAAACUGCCUUCCUGUCUCAACUGCAGAAGCCCUCCUCUGGCCGUAUGUGGCACAGUGUCUUUUGCCAAGGCCUGUGCUCCACCCAGACCCCUGGAAUCUAGUUGCAGGGCAUUCACCAUGUUUAUUGGCAUCCUAGGUGUGUGUGGGCUCUGCAGCUUGCCUUCAACCAGUCCCCAGCUGCUCUUUUUCUCCUCUCAUAUGAUGCUCCCCACCCUCAAGGGCCAACCUGGCUAGCUGUGUUUACUUCAGGUGAGCCUGGCUCCCCUAUGUGGCUUCCGGUCCUGCCCAUCCUCCACCUGUAUCCCCUUUCUACACAGGUUAGGCCCAUAUACCCCUGAAAAUGGCUUAGAGUGCAGGCUCUGUGUCUAGCAUUAGAGCCUUGUGUUUGCCCGAUACCUGUCCUUUAAUGGCAUGCAGCCCCAGUGCCUUCAUAUAAUUGUUGCUCACAAUGCUGUCCAGUGGCUGUGUCCAGAGUAAACAGUAAGAGAGCAAGGAACUUGCUGGGUUAGGAUCAGAUCCAAACAGGGGCUGAGGCUUUCUAUCCCAAGCUGCUGCCCUCACCGGGGUCCUCACCCCUGCUAUCCUCAAGGAACACUGAGAAGAUGACCAACCCACCCCAGCCUUCUCUGCAUCUGUACCACAGUACACAGAUCCAUGCAUGCUUUCACUCAGCUUCAACAUCUCCUUAUCCGCCAGAUCUUUACUGAGCAUAAGUAUCCCCACAGCAACACAGAGUGGAACAGACAAGAGGCUGCCCUCUGGUUACAGGAAGCUGACCACAUCAAAUCACAGACAAGCUAUGUAGCCAGAGGUUAGAGGUGCAGGGGACAGAGCUCCCCAUCAGCUACAACAACCAUUUCCCUUCCUAGCAGAGUACCAGUGGCAUUAAGAUAUCACCAGCUUGGCUACCCCUAAACCUACAAGAUGGUAUAUAUACCCCUACCCAUAGGUCCUAGGCAGGCUUCACAGAACAAAGGGUCCUUACAGUGCCCACCCCACCCCCACAGUGCCUCAAGAGGAAAUGUGGUACUUUCUCAAGCCAAUGAGGCAAAGGUAAACUGCUAGAGAGUAAAAGCAUUUCUAGGGAUAGUAUCUGAGAUUUAAAGAGAAAGCCAUAAGAAAGGCUGGUCUCUGGGUGUGGUGGCGCACGCCUUUAAUCCUAGCACUCGGGAGGCAGAGGCAGGUGGAUUUCUGAGUUCGAGGCCAGCCUGGUCUACAAAGUGAGUUCUAGGACAGCCAGGGCUAUACAGAGAAAUCCUGUCUCGGAAAAAAAAAAAAAAAAACAAACAAACAAAGGAAGGAAGGAAGGAAGGAGAGAGAGAGAGAGAGAGAGACACAAAGCCACACCAUAUAUCAGUGAACAGAGAAACAACUGCCCUUCUCCGGGCCCCUGUCUGAGAAGCUGGAGCAUCAGCCCUGGAGCUCUCCGGAGCAGUUUCCUUGCUCACUGUCCCCAGCUGAACACAGGUUGGUCAGAUCUACUCCCGUUCCCACUCUGCCCCCAUCUCUCCCCUCUGUGCUUGCCAAGCAGUAAGUAGACUGCUCAUAUUUGUGGAAUGAGUAGUGUGUUGGUGUCCCCAGUAGCAGACCUGGCAAUGAGACUUCAUGUGCCAUAUGAAGGGAGUGUUCCAGGGGACAAAAAUAAGGGAAUAGAGAUAGGACAAGGGUGGGUGAGGGGGCAGAGCACUGGAGUUGGGCUGUCCCCCUCACCUCCACUCCUAAACGUCAGACUGCAGGGUUCUUCAAGGAACACAGAAACUCAGGCAUGUGUGCCGAAGCAAUGGCAGGAAGCAAUGAGGACCUGGGUGGGGUGCCUGUGUCUGUCAGUACAACUGUCUGGCUUUCUACUGCUGUGAUGAAAUACUGUGACCAAAAGCCACUUGGGUAGGAAAGAGGUUAUUUUACAUUACAGCUUCUAAGUCCACCACUGUGGGAAAGCCAGGGCAGAAACCUAGAGCAGAAACCAAGGAAACACUGCCUACUGGCCUGUUCUCAUGGUUUGCCCAUCCUGUUUUCUUAUACCAUCUAGGACCACUUACCCAUGGGUGCCACUGCCCACAGUGAGAUGGACCCUCCCACAUCAAUUAUCAGUCAAGAAAAUGUCCCACAGACCAAUUCUGUGGAGGGACAUUUUUUUUCAGUUGAUGGUCUCUUCCCAACUGAUUCUAGCUGUGUUGAGAUGACAUAAAUAGUAGCCAGCAUACCAUCCAAACAGACAGCAAAGCCAAGGCAGCCUUCAGGCCUGCUGUCACUUCAUCCUGUCCUUCCUAGGACCAGAGGGGAUACUGCCUGCUCAGGAAAGCCAAGAGGAGCCUGCUUCUCCUGAAAUGUAAAAAGUACACUGUGCAUAUGGAAAGCAUUAUUGUGUUUCACUGUGCAUCGCCAGAUUCUUCUUGCAAAACAUUGAAGCUUAGCUCAUAAUUUGGUGAUAAAAUAUUGAUUAUUUAUCCACAGCCGCAUGCAGAGGUCCAAAGCACGUAAACAGGAUACCCACCCUGCAUUAUCUUAUAUUUUAAGUCAAUAUGAAGAUGGACAUUCUACCCCUGAGACCAAUUUCGAUCAAAUACUUUUGUCAAUAAAAAGAUACUAAUGUCC